AUACGUAGGGGGCUAGCGUUGUCCGGAUUCAUUGGGCGUAAAGGGUGCGUAGGCGGCGCGGUAAGUCGGGUGUGAAAUUUCGAGGCUUAACUUCGAAACUGCAUUCGAUACUGCCGUGCUUGAGGACUGGAGAGGAGACUGGAAUUUACGGUGUAGCGGUGAAAUGCGUAGAUAUCGUAAGGAAGACCAGUGGCGAAGGCGGGUCUCUGGACAGUUCCUGACGCUGAGGCACGAAGGCCAGGGGAGCAAACGGGA
rnacentral:rRNA from 1 species